GGGGGCGCGGACUCACACUGAUCCGAGGUCACAUUUCAGAAGUUGGGUGUUUAACGGCUGUGGACGCGCCGCGCUCCCGAUGCGAGUGUGCAAACUACUGCGCAGGAGAGGCUGCGGCGAGACCGCCACUGUAUUUCGGAGACGGCCACCGCCAAGGCAGGGCCGAUCCCCAACGCCGACCCCCCGGAGGGGUUCGAGGGUUGAAAUGACGCUCGGACAGGCAUGCCCGCCAGAAUACUGGCGGGCGCAAUGUGCGUUCAAAGAUUCGAUGAUUCACUGAAUUCUGCAAUUCACAUUACUUAUCGCAUUUCGCUGCGUUCUUCAUCGAUGCCAGAACCAAGAGAUCCGUUGUUGAAAGUUUUGAUUCAUUUUCGAAACGCCUACGAGAGGCGCCGAGAAGGCUCAGAUUAUAAAAAAACCCGCGAGGGGGUAUACAAUAAGAGUUUUGGUUGGUCCUCCGGCGGGCGCCUUGGUCCGGGGCUGCGACGCACCCGGGGCAGAGAUCCCGCCGAGGCAACAGUUUGGUAACGUUCACAUUGGGUUUGGGAGUUGUAAACUCGGUAAUGAUCCCUCCGCUGGUUCACCAACGGAGACCUUGUUCAUUUUUAAAACUUCCAAAAAGAUAUAAAAAAAACG
rnacentral:misc_RNA from 1 species